rnacentral:rRNA from 1 species
UACGGAGGGUGCAAGCGUUAUCCGGAUUCACUGGGUUUAAAGGGUGCGUAGGUGGGCAAGUAAGUCAGUGGUGAAAUCUCCGGGCUUAACCCGGAAACUGCCAUUGAUACUAUUUGUCUUGAAUACUUUGGAGGUAAGCGGAAUAUGUCAUGUAGCGGUGAAAUGCUUAGAUAUGACAUAGAACACCAAUUGCGAAGGCAGCUUACUACACAGUGACUGACACUGAGGCACGAAAGCGUGGGGAUCAAACAGG